UACAGAGGGGGCAAGCGUUAUUCGGAAUUAUUGGGCGUAAAGGGCGCGUAGGCGGCCUUGUAAGUCUUGGGUGAAAUCCCUCAGCUCAACUGAGGAACUGCCUCGGAUACUGCAGGGCUUGAGGCCGGGAGAGGGUAGUGGAAUUCCCAGUGUAGCGGUGAAAUGCGUAGAUAUUGGGAGGAACACCGGUGGCGAAGGCGGCUACCUGGACCGGUUCUGACGCUGAUGCGCGAAAGCGUGGGUAGCAAACAGG
rnacentral:rRNA from 1 species